GGUGCUUGCACCUUUCGAGCGAGUGGCGAACGGGUGAGUAACACGUGGAUAACCUGCCUCAAGGCUGGGGAUAACAUUUGGAAACAGAUGCUAAUACCGAAUAAAACUUAGUAUCGCAUGAUACAAAGUUGAAAGGCGCUACGGCGUCACCUAGAGAUGGGUCCGCGGUGCAUUAGUUAGUUGGUGGGGUAAAGGCCUACCAAGACAAUGAUGCAUAGCCGAGUUGAGAGACUGAUCGGCCACAUUGGGACUGAGACACGGCCCAAACUCCUACGGGAGGCUGCAGUAGGGAAUCUUCCACAAUGGGCGAAAGCCUGAUGGAGCAACGCCGCGUGUGUGAUGAAGGCUUUAGGGUCGUAAAGCACUGUUGUAUGGGAAGAAAUGCUAGAAUAGGGAAUGAUUCUAGUUCGACGGUACCAUACCAGAAAGGGACGGCUAAAUACGUGCCAGCAGCCGCGGUAAUACGUAUGUCCCGAGCGUUAUCCGGAUUUAUUGGGCGUAAAGCGAGCGCAGACGGUUGAUUAAGUCUGAUGUGAAAGCCCGGAGCUCAACUCCGGAAUGGCAUUGGAAACUGGUUAACUUGAGUGUUGUAGAGGUAAGUGGAACUCCAUGUGGUAAGCG
rnacentral:rRNA from 1 species